CUUUUCCUACGGGACGCAGCAGUGGGGAAUAUUGCACCAUGGGCGAAAGCCUGAUGCAGCAACGCCGCGUGAAGGAAGAAGGGUUUCGGCUCGUAAACUUCUAUCAACAGGGAUGAAAGAAAUGACGGUACCUGAAUAAGAAGCCCCGGCUAACUACGUGCCAGCAGCCGCGGUAAUACGUAGGGGGCAAGCGUUAUCCGGAAUUACUGGGUGUAAAGGGUGAGUAGGCGGCAUGGUAAGCCAGAUGUGAAAGCCUUGGGCUUAACCCGAGGAUUGCAUUUGGAACUAUCAAGCUA
rnacentral:rRNA from 1 species